UCGUAUGACACCUUGACUAUGUUAUAAUGACCUUUUUGUCACCUAUAACCCAAACGUCUAGUUGAUAGUUCUUUCUUCUUUCGAAGGAAAUAAUUAAUAGUUCUUUUAGCUAAAUCAUAAGUUUAAACUUGGAUCCAGCAUUAAAAGUCACAAAGAACUAGACAACAAAGCAUGCAGUCAGUUGUAACUAGAUUGUGAGGUAACCUUGCAUGUGUUUGUGCUGCAUGUGAGUUGGCAUGGAGGCGGGUGUGUGUGGUCUGUAAGUCUUUGAAAGAUGGC
rnacentral:lncRNA from 1 species